CUUACCCAAAAUACGUGGAAAAACACGAUGUGCCUUAGCUGACUAUGAAACCAGGAUAUUGACGUUCAAUCAUCCCAUCAUCCAUCCGUCCAUCCUCAACCGCUUAUCCUGCGUAUAGGGUACAUUGUGGGACCUAGUUAGUCCAUGAGGAGAUGCUGCACUGCACUCGGACAACUUUAACACCUACACACCCACCCACGUAAACAUGUCUUGGCACACAUAUUGACGGCUCUGUACCAAGUGAGCAUAUGCACGCUGAAACGCCCACAUAGAGCUCUUAUGAACCUUCCCAUCUAAUGUUUAUGCAUCAACCAUGAUCAAGACUAGGCGAACUGCUAUGUGGGAUCAUUUAAAAUCUUCUGCCUCUGCACGUGGAUAUGCUGGGCUCUGACACCGCAAUGCUGUCUGGGUACACAGUGGCCAUCACACACUGGUUGAGAGAGGCAGCGAAGCGGUAUGGCUCGUCUGCACGCUCACAUCGGUCCCUCUGAGAGCAGCUGAACAGAGAGGGAGAACAAGGGACAAAGAAAGAAAGGAGUUACUGAUAUUUGUUUUUAACAGGAACACAAAUAAUAAUUCCUUGCAUUUCAACAGGUUCCCUGCAUGGUUUGUGCUUGGGCCUUAAAAAAAGCUAUUAUAGCCCUGAGAAAAAUAUUAUUACAUUAGAUUGUUACCAAAGUUGUAAUAGGAACGAAAACACAAGUAGACCCCAUGAAUGAAUAAAUCACAGGAAAAAGAGGUACUGCCAAAGUUAUAAUAGGGAAGAAAAUACUAACAAUGAAAACUAGAGAAAAUGUAUAAAAACAAUCAAACAAUAAAAAAAAUUGUGAUAUGAACAAAUACAUGUUACAAUAAAUGUAAUAAAAACAUGUGACAAUUUUAGUUGGGAAAGUUGUGACAGAUAUUUAAAACAACA